rnacentral:rRNA from 1 species
CUAGGCACGACACCUUGAUUGAUCAGGACAACCUUGAUGAAUGGGAGACCCAUGUGAAUUCUUACACACCCAGAGGUGUUUUCUUACACCCACAAUGUGAAAUUCAUAAACAGGGAGGUGUUGUUUCAUAUACCGAUACGGGGGCUAUUGGUCUUGUAAUUGGAGUGAGUGAAGUAUAAACCCCUUUACGAGUAUCAAUUGGAGGGCAAGUCUGGUGCCAGCAGCCGCGGUAAUUCCAGCUCCAAUAGCGUAUAUUAAAGUUGUUGCAGUUAAAAAGCUCGUAGUUGGAUUUCUGUUGUAUAAUUUAUAAUAUUACCAAGGUAAUUAUUAUAUUAUCAACAUCCUUCCUAUUAUAUUCUAAAUAUAUAGGAAAUUUUACUUUGAGAAAAUUAGAGUGCUUAAAGCAGGCAACUGCCUUGAAUACUCCAGCAUGGAAUAAUAAGUAAGGACUUUUGUCUUUCUUAUUGGUUCUAGGACAAAAGUAAUGGUUAAUAGGGACAGUUGGGGGCAUUCGUAUUUAACAGUCAGAGGUGAAAUUCUUAGAA